rnacentral:lncRNA from 1 species
UUUCUUCUAUUCUUCUCUCUAUACGUUGGUGUUCUAAUCAAUAAUCACCGAUACGAUAUUCUUUCUGAUCAAUUCGGGAACCAACUAACGAAUGCCAAAGUGCUGUCUAAAGAAGACUAUACUUUGUGAAUUUCGUUAAGGUUAUGAUCUCGCGACCAUCGUUAGGUUUGAUAUGGUUUUACACUAAUACGUAUUCCACUUUGUUAAACUAAAUGUUUAACUAUCAGAAAACUACGUUCCAUAACAUACUAUUAAACAAGAUGUUUAAUCAUCAGAAGAUUCAGAACUAUAAAGUAGAUGCUUAAUUAUCAGAAGGCAUAGAAUCAAGAGACUUGUUAAAUCAAGACUGCAUGCUUAUAAAGUGAGUCAUUCUCUUUUUAUCAAAUUGCUUUCAAACCCCUACUUGUUUUCAAAGUUGUAAUUACAGUGAUUAAGUCUUUGUAAUCUACAAUUACUGCCGGUGUGUGGGGUUUUGUAUACACUACUUGAUAAUCUUCACCAUUGGACAACGGGUUAGCCAAUGGGUGAUAAUGACCAUAGUCACAGAUCCGGUCGAGUGACAAAUACCGAUUUGGGGUGA